CCUACGGGAGGCAGCAGUGAGGAAUAUUGGUCAAUGGACGAGAGUCUGAACCAGCCAAGUAGCGUGAAGGAUGACUGCCCUAUGGGUUGUAAACUUCUUUUAUAUGGGAAUAAAUGUUCCACGUGUGGGGUUUUGUAAGUACCAUAUGGAUAAGGAUCGGCUAACUACGUGCCAGCAGCCGCGGUAAUACGGCGGAUCCGAGCGUUAUCCGGAUUUAUUGGGUUUAAAGGGAGCGUAGGUGGAUUGUUAAGUCAGUUGUGAAAGUUUGCGGCUCAACCGUAAAAUUGCAGUUGAAACUGGCAGUCUUGAGGACAGUAGAGGUGGGCGGAAUUCGUGGUGUAGCGGUGAAAUGCUUAGAUAUCACGAAGAACUCCGAUUGCGAAGGCGGUUCACUGGACUGCAACUGACACUGAGGCUCGAAAGUGUGGGUAUCAAACAGGAUUAGAUACCCGUGUAGUC
rnacentral:rRNA from 1 species